rnacentral:lncRNA from 1 species
CAUAGAAAGCUGUGCAUCAGUGGUCCCUCUGGCUGUCCUCCAAACAUCUACAGAAGCCAGUUCAAGAUAUUUGAAAGCUGAAUUAUAUGUGGGAGAGCGAUGCAGAGGAAGAGCUGAUGAUGUGAGAAAUGCAAGAUACGAGUACUGGAAAUGAUGGUUCCAGUAGAUGAGACCCACUCAGAUAAUAAAAAUGAUACUAUCUCUGCAAGAACCAGUAAAAUGGCCUGGACCCACUGAGGAAGUGAAUUGGCAGAGGCAUCUCCUGCCUUGUGUGACACGGAAUUCUCUUUGGUGAAAAAACCAAAAUUCUUGCAAAUUCCAGGUUGGUUGAGUUUCAAGAAGCUGUUGUCUGACAGAAAGGCUCUAAAUAACAGAAGCGGAAAACAGGACUCCACAGGAUCUGAUUCAGUGUGCAGUAAAGCUGGUUAGAGAAGAGCCACUGACCUGGUUAGGUAUGUAGAUACUAUGAUCUACAUGCACAGCUGACUCCUAGUAGUGAUUUAUAAAUAGAGGUUUAGAA